rnacentral:rRNA from 1 species
AUUGAACGCUGGCGGCAGGCUUAACACAUGCAAGUCGAGCGGGGAAGGGUAGCUUGCUACCUGACCUAGCGGCGGACGGGUGAGUAAUGCUUAGGAAUCUGCCUAUUAGUGGGGGACAACAUUCCGAAAGGAAUGCUAAUACCGCAUACGCCCUACGGGGGAAAGCAGGGGAUCUUCGGACCUUGCGCUAAUAGAUGAGCCUAAGUCAGAUUAGCUAGUUGGUGGGGUAAAGGCCUACCAAGGCGACGAUCUGUAGCGGGUCUGAGAGGAUGAUCCGCCACACGGGGACUGAGACACGGCCCAGACUCCUACGGGAGGCAGCAGUGGGGAAUAUUGGACAAUGGGCGAAAGCCUGAUCCAGCCAUGCCGCGUGUGUGAAGAAGGCCUUUUGGUUGUAAAGCACUUUAAGCGAGGAGGAGGCUACCGAGAUUAAUACUCUUGGAUAGUGGACGUUACUCGCAGAAUAAGCACCGGCUAACUCUGUGCCAGCCGCCGCCGUAAAAC